ACCCGCUGAACUUAAGCACAUCAAUAAGCGGAGGAAAAGAAACCAACAGGGAUUGCCCUAGUAACGGCGAGUGAAGCGGCAACAGCUCAAAUUUGAAAUCUGGCUCUUUUAGAGUCCGAGUUGUAAUUUGCAGAGGGCGCUUUGGCUUUGGCAGCGGUCCAAGUUCCUUGGAACAGGACGUCACAGAGGGUGAGAAUCCCGUACGUGGUCGCUGGCUAUUGCCGUGUAAAGCCCCUUCGACGAGUCGAGUUGUUUGGGAAUGCAGCUCUAAAUGGGAGGUACAUUUCUUCUAAAGCUAAAUAUUGGCCAGAGACCGAUAGCGCACAAGUAGAGUGAUCGAAAGAUGAAAAGCACUUUGGAAAGAGAGUCAAACAGCACGUGAAAUUGUUGAAAGGGAAGCGCUUGCAGCCAGACUUGCUUACAGUUGCUCAUCCGGGCUUUUGCCCGGUGCACUCUUCUGUAGGCAGGCCAGCAUCAGUUUGGGCGGUAGGAUAAAGGUCUCUGUCACGUACCUCUCUUCGGGGAGGCCUUAUAGGGGAGACGACAUACUACCAGCCUGGACUGAGGUCCGCGCAUCUGCUAGGAUGCUGGCGUAAUGGCUGU
rnacentral:rRNA from 1 species